rnacentral:rRNA from 1 species
GUUUCCGUAGGUGAACCUGCGGAAGGAUCAUUACCACACAUAAAAAACUUUCCACGUGAACCGUUUCAACCCAAUAGUUGGGGGUCUUAUUUGGCGGCGGCUGCUGGCUUAAUUGUUGGCGGCUGCUGCUGAGUGAGCCCUAUCAAAAAAAAGGCGAACGUUUGGGCUUCGGCCUGAUUUAGUAGUCUUUUUUUCUUUUAAACCCAUUCCUUAAUACUGAAUAUACUGUGGGGACGAAAGUCUCUGCUUUUAACUAGAUAGCAACUUUCAGCAGUGGAUGUCUAGGCUCGCACAUCGAUGAAGAACGCUGCGAACUGCGAUACGUAAUGCGAAUUGCAGGAUUCAGUGAGUCAUCGAAAUUUUGAACGCAUAUUGCACUUCCGGGUUAGUCCUGGAAGUAUGCCUGUAUCAGUGUCCGUACAUUAAACUUGACUUUCUUCCUUCCGUGUAGUCGGUGGAGGAGAUGUCAGAUGUGAAGUGUCUUGCGAUUGGUCUUCGGACCGGCUGCGAGUCCUUUUAAAUGUACUAAACUGAACUUCUCUUUGCUCGAAAAGUGGUGGCGUAGCUGGUUGUGAAGGCUGCUAUUGUGGCAAAUUGGCGACUGGUUUGUCUGCUGCGGCGUUAAUGGAAGAGUGUUCGAUUCGUGGUAUGGUUGGCUUCGGCUGAACAAUGCACUUAUUGGACGUUUUUCCUGCUGUGGCGUGAUGGACUGGUGAACCAUAGCUCGGUGGCUUGGCUUUUGAAUUGGCUUUGCUGUUGCGAAGUAGGGUGGCAGCUUCGGUUGUCGAGGGUCGAUCCAUUUGGGAACUUAAUGUGUACUUCGGUAUGCAUCUCAAUUGGACCUAUAUCAGACAUGGUUUCCGGU